AUUAAAAAAUAUUUAUAUUAAAAACGAAUCUUGGUACGCCAUUAUAAAUCGCGUCCUAACAUCCUGCGAGUCAUUAUAAAUGGCGUCCUCAGUCCAGACCUGACAAAUGCAGAAAUUCUCGACAAAAAGAGUGCUGGAACAGUUUAGGACGUGAAUAUAAAUAAUGUCCGGUCUUGGAACGCUAUUUUGAAUAGCGUCUUCAUCCAUCAACUUUCCAGCUCAACUCCAUUCACACCUAUUUAGUAAUUUAACAACAUCACACCCUCUUUCAUUAUUUUCAUGUUACAGUGUACGGUCAAUUUCCCUAAAAGUCACGUCCCAAACAACUUUUCACAUCCCAAAUGAAACCUUCACGGCAACUAAUCCUCUCCCUUGGUGAAGCAAACUCAGUCCUAUCUAAGAAGGGAGGAAAUCCAAA
rnacentral:misc_RNA from 1 species